rnacentral:rRNA from 1 species
CCUACGGGUGGCAGCAGUGAGGAAUAUUGGUCAAUGGGCGGGAGCCUGAACCAGCCAAGUCGCGUGAGGGAAGACUGUCCUACGGAUUGUAAACCUCUUUUGCCGGGGAGCAACGGGGUCCUUGCGAGGGCCCAAUGAGAGUACCCGGAGAAAAAGCAUCGGCUAACUCCGUGCCAGCAGCCGCGGUAAUACGGGGGAUGCGAGCGUUAUCCGGAUUUAUUGGGUUUAAAGGGUGCGUAGGCGGGCUGUUAAGUCAGCGGUCAACUGUCGGGGACCAACCCCGGCCUGCCGUUGAAACUGGCGGCGUCGAGUGGGCGAGAAGUAUGCGGAAUGCGUGGUGUAGCGGUGAAAUGCAUAGAUAUCACGCAGAACUCCGAUUGCGAAGGCAGCAUACCGGCGCCCUACUGACGCUGAGGCACGAAAGCGUGGGUAUCGAACAGGAUUAGAUACCCUUGUAGUC